GAUGAACGCUGGCGGCGUGCCUAAUACAUGCAAGUCGAGCGAACGGACGAGAAGCUUGCUUCUCUGAUGUUAGCGGCGGACGGGUGAGUAACACGUGGAUAACCUACCUAUAAGACUGGGAUAACUUCGGGAAACCGGAGCUAAUACCGGAUAAUAUUUUGAACCGCAUGGUUCAAAAGUGAAAGACGGUCUUGCUGUCACUUAUAGAUGGAUCCGCGCUGCAUUAGCUAGUUGGUAAGGUAACGGCUUACCAAGGCAACGAUGCAUAGCCGACCUGAGAGGGUGAUCGGCCACACUGGAACUGAGACACGGUCCAGACUCCUACGGGAGGCAGCAGUAGGGAAUCUUCCGCAAAGGGCGAAAGCCUGACGGAGCAACGCCGCGUGAGUGAUGAAGGUCUUCGGAUCGUAAAACUCUGUUAUUAGGGAAGAACAUAUGUGUAAGUAACUGUGCACAUCUUGACGGUAUCUAAUCAGAAAGCCACGGCUAACUACGUG
rnacentral:rRNA from 1 species